AACGAACGCUGGCGGCAGGCCUAACACAUGCAAGUCGAACGCCCCGCAAGGGGAGUGGCAGACGGGUGAGUAACACGCGGGAACGUACCCUUCGGUUCGGAAUAACUCAGGGAAACUUGAGCUAAUACCGGAUACGUCCGAGAGGAGAAAGAUUUAUCGCCGAAGGAUCGGCCCGCAUCUGAUUAGCUUGUUGGUGAGGUAACGGCUCACCAAGGCGACGAUCAGUAGCUGGUCUGAGAGGAUGAUCAGCCACAUUGGGACUGAGACACGGCCCAAACUCCUACGGGAGGCAGCAGUGGGGAAUAUUGGACAAUGGGCGAAAGCCUGAUCCAGCCAUGCCGCGUGAGUGAUGAAGGCCCUAGGGUUGUAAAGCUCUUUUACCUGGGAAGAUAAUGACUGUACCAGGAGAAUAAGCCCCGGCUAACUUCGUGCCAGCAGC
rnacentral:rRNA from 1 species